GACGAACGCUGACGGCGUGCUUAACACAUGCAAGUCGAAGGGAGUGGCGAACGGGUGAGUAACACGUGAGUAACCUGCCCUUUUCUUUGGGAUAAGCCUGGGAAACUGGGUCUAAUACUGGAUGGAUUGGGACGGGCUCGGGGCUUUUCGGCUUGUUGGUGGGGGGAUGGCUUACCAAGGCUUGGACGGGUAGCCGGCCUGAUAGGGUGUUCGGGAACACGGGGACUGGGAGACGGCCCAGAGUCGUACGGGAGGCGGCAGUGGGGGAUAUGGCACAAUGCACGAAAGGCUGAUGCAGCGACGUCGUGUGGGGGAUGAAGGUCUUCGGGUUGUAAACUCCUUUCGCCCGCGGAAUGGUAGUGGGUAAAGAAGCGCCGGCUAACUACGUGCCAGCAGCCGCGGUAAUAC
rnacentral:rRNA from 1 species